GGAAUCUUCCACAAUGGACGCAAGUCUGAUGGAGCAACGCCGCGUGAGUGAAGAAGGUCUUCGGAUCGUAAAGCUCUGUUGCUGGUGAAGAAGGAUAGAGGCAGUAACUGGUCUUUAUUUGACGGUAAUCAACCAGAAAGUCACGGCUAACUACGUGCCAGCAGCCGCGGUAAUACGUAGGUGGCAAGCGUUGUCCGGAUUUAUUGGGCGUAAAGCGAGCGCAGGCGGAAUGAUAAGUCUGAUGUGAAAGCCCACGGCUCAACCGUGGAAAUGCAUCGGAAACUGUCAUUCUUGAGUGCAGAAGAGGAGAGUGGAACUCCAUGUGUAGCGGUGGAAUGCGUGGAUAUAUGGAAGAACACCAGUGGCGAAGGCGGCUCUCUGGUCUGCAACUGUCGCUGAGGCUCGAAAGCAUGGGUAGCGA
rnacentral:rRNA from 1 species